GCGGUUAUGGCGGAAUUGGUAGACGCGCCGGACUUAGAAUCCGGUUCGAAAGAGUGCAGGUUCAAGCCCUGUUAACCGCA
rnacentral:tRNA from 2 species